GGUGAGCUCGGGAUCGGGUUGCGGGGCUUGGAGGCUGUUAGUUGGGUCUGGGUCAGGUUAUUGGGCCGGGCUCGUGACAAAAAAAAAACAAAAGACGGGAGAAAUUGAUGGUUACAAAAUCCCCAAGUUGGAAUUGAUUUUUGAAACACUACUGGGAAGACACAGUUGGGGAGAAGGAGAUAAGAACAAAUGGAUUUAGGGUUGAAGCGGUUCUUUUUCUUUGUUGUGACAAAGGGACACUGUCCUGGUGUUUAUACUAGUUGGGAAGAGGCUAACGAACAGGUAACUAACUUCAGUUUUCCAGAGUACCAAGGUUUUAAUAGCUAUGAACAUGCUUGUAUGUGCUUCAAGGCAAGAAUGUGUUCGCUGUCAUGGGAGAAAGCUUCGUGUGGUGAAUUCGUUGGCGCAAUUGGUGAAGGAGCCUCCGGACAUAACGACAAUCUAUCGAAUGAAAGGUCACGGCGUGGUGCAGUUGUGUCGUGGCUACCCGUUAUUCCAGAGGAGGAGCUGAAUUUGGACUUUGCUGUUGUGGCCAACAUGGAGGAUUGGUUGGUGAAGGUGUGCCAUGAUGCUCAAAUUCCUAGUCCAUGUUUUUUCAAGCAAGAACGGUUUACAAGAGAGAAAGGGCCAUUUUAUGGGUUCACUGUGGUGGUUCCGGGCAAUCCAUUUGAAGUUGAGCUUUCAGCCAGGGGUCGAUUCUCCUUGGUUGAGAAAGCUGCAAGAGAGGACGCAGCAUUUGAGAUGUUAGGUCGCGUGUUGGAUUUAACCGGAAAGGAGAUUCGGGACUAUAGCUAUUCGAAGCUGAAGCUUGUAAACGACAGUAACAAUGCUCUGCGUGCGAAGGUAAGUCAAUUAGAAGAGGCAUACGAGAAGCUGAGGGGUCGUUACGAUGCACUGAAACACGAAAACGUUGAAGGCAAUGCAAUCUGAAGAGUGGUCUACUAGGUAGAAGACAUGUUUCCAUCCAAACCAUGGACAGUGGCUUCCCAGCAGCGAAAUCUCAGGGAAGAAGAUGAUGCCGCUGCUGCCUUUGUUUUGCAUGGACACGCUGAAAAUGUGGAAGCUAUUGCUGAUGAUGUUUCUGAAGCGACCAACCGCAGAGAUGCCACAAUCUUACGCGGCUCCGCCAU